CCUACGGGAGGCAGCAGUGAGGAAUAUUGGUCAAUGGACGAGAGUCUGAACCAGCCAAGUAGCGUGAAGGAUGACUGCCCUAUGGGUUGUAAACUUCUUUUAUAUGGGAAUAAAAUGUUCCACGUGUGGGAUUUUGUAUGUACCAUAUGAAUAAGGAUCGGCUAACUCCGUGCCAGCAGCCGCGGUAAUACGGAGGAUCCGAGCGUUAUCCGGAUUUAUUGGGUUGCAAGGGAGCGUAGGUGGAUUGUUACGUCAGUUGUGAAAGUUUGCGGCUCAACCGGAAAAUUGCAGUUGAAACUGGCAGUCUUGAUUCCAGUAUCGGUGGGCGGCAUUCGUGUUGUAGCGGUGCACUGCUUCGCUCUCACG
rnacentral:rRNA from 1 species